rnacentral:lncRNA from 1 species
GGCUGUUGAUGUGGUCUACCUUGACUUCAGCAAAGCCUUUGACACUGUCUCCCACAGUAUUCUCCUGCGGAAGCUGGCAGUCCGUGGCUUGGACAGGUGCACUCUUGGCUGGGUAAGGAACUGGCUGGAGGGCCGGGCCCAGAGAGUGGUGGUCAAUGGAGCCAAAUCCAGCUGGCGACCGGUCACGAGUGGGGUUCCCCAGGGGUCGAUGCUGGGGCCUGUCCUCUUCAAUAUCUUCAUUGAUGACCUGGAUGAGGGCAUUGAGUGCACCCUCAGUAAGUUUGCAGAUGACACUAAGUUGGCUGGAAGCGUCGAUCUGCCUGGGGGUAGCGAGGCCCUACAGAGGGAUUUGGACAGGCUGGAUAGCUGGGCUGAAGCCAAUGGGAUGAGGUUUAAUAAGACCAAAUGCCGGGUCCUACACUUUGGCCACAACAACCCCAAGCAACGCUACAGGCUUGGGGCGGAGUGGCUGGAAGACUGUGUAGAGGAAAUGGACCUGGGGGUGUUGGUUGACGCUCGGCUAAACAUGAGCCAGCAGUGUGCCUGGGUGGCCAAGAAGGCCAAUGGCAUCCUGGCUUGUAUCAGAAGUAGUGUGACCAGCAGGAGUAGGGAAGUAAUUGUCCCCCUGUACUCAGCUCUGGUGAGGCCGCACCUUGAGUACUGUGUCCAGUUCUGGGCCCCUCACUGCAAGAAAGACAUUGAGGCCCUGGAGCGGGUUCAAAGAAGGGCAACAAAACUGGUGAGGGGUCUGGAGCACAGGCCUUAUGAGGAGCGGCUGAGGGAGCUGGGAUUGUUCAGUCUGGAGAAGAGAAGGCUCAGGGGAGACCUUAUUACUCUCUAUAACUACCUGAGGGGAGGUUGUAGCGAGCUGGGGGUCGGCCUCUUCUCUCGUGUAACUGGUGAUAGGACUAGGGGGAAUGGUUUCAAGCUGCGCCAGGGAAGAUUCAGGCUGGAUAUUAGGAAAUACUACUUCUCUGAAAGAGUGGUCAAGCACUGGAAUGGGCUGCCCAGGGAGGUGGUGGAGUCACCGACCCUGGAGGUGAUUUUCUCUCUUGGCAAUACUUAACAGCAAGGAAAGGAUAAUAGAAAUAACUUCUCCAGAAAAGUGGUGAUGGACUGGCAUAGGUUGCCAAGGUUGGUGUUGGAGUCACCAUUCCUGG